rnacentral:rRNA from 1 species
GAUGAACGCUGGCGGCGUGCCUAAUACAUGCAAGUCGAGCGAACGGACGAGAAGCUUGCUUCUCUGAUGUUAGCGGCGGACGGGUGAGUAACACGUGGAUAACCUACCUAUAAGACUGGGAUAACUUCGGGAAACCGGAGCUAAUACCGGAUGAUAUUUUGAACCGCAUGGUUCAAAAGUGAAAGAAGGUCUUGCUGUCACUUAUAGAUGGAUCCGCGCUGCAUUAGCUAGUUGGUAAGGUAACGGCUUACCAAGGCAACGAUGCAUAGCCGACCUGAGAGGGUGAUCGGCGACACUGGAACUGAGACACGGUCCAGACUCCUACGGGAGGCAGCAGUAGGGAAUCUUCCGCAAUGGGCGAAAGCCUGACGGAGCAACGCCGCGUGAGUGAUGAAGGUCUUCGGAUCGUAAAACUCUGUUAUUAGGUAAGAACAUAUGUGUAAGUAACUGUGCACAUCUUGACGGUACCUAAUCAGAAAGCCACGGCUAACUACGUG